AUUACCUACUCCUACGGGAGGCAGCAGUAGGGAAUCUUCCGCAAUGGACGAAAGUCUGACGGAGCAACGCCGCGUGAGUGAUGAAGGCUUUCGGGUCGUAAAACUCUGUUGUUAGGGAAGAACAAGUGCUAGUUGAAUAAGCUGGCACCUUGACGGUACCUAACCAGAAAGCCACGGCUAACUACGUGCCAGCAGCCGCGGUAAUGAGCUGUUG
rnacentral:rRNA from 1 species